UACGUAGGUGGCAAGCGUUGUCCGGAUUUACUGGGCGUAAAGAGCGCGCAGGCGGCUGGGCAAGUCCAAUGUGAAAGCUCCCGGCUUAACUGGGAAAUUGCAUCGGAAACUGCUCGACUUGAAGGUGGGAGAGGGUAGCGGAAUUCCCGGUGUAGUGGUGAAAUGCGUAGAUAUCGGGAGGAACACCAGUGGCGAAGGCGGCUACCUGGCCCAUUCUUGACGCUGAGGCGCGAAAGCUAGGGGAGCAAACGGG
rnacentral:rRNA from 1 species